GGCUAGGACGAACGCUGGCGGCGUGCCUAAUACAUGCAAGUCGAACGGUCUUUCUAUGGAAGCUUGCUUCCACUGAGAAGAUAGUGGCGAACGGGGUGAGUAACACGUGGGGUAAACCUGCCCCAUAAGAGGGGGGAUAACAUCCGGAAACGGGUGCUAAUACCGCAUAGUUUCUUGAUCGCAUGAUUGAGAAAGGAAAGACGGCCUUUGUGCUGUCGCUUAUGGAUGGACCCGCGGCGUAUUAGUUAGUUGGUGAGGUAACGGCUCACCAAGACGAUGAUACGUAGCCGACCUGAGAGGGUGAUCGGCCACAUUGGGACUGAGACACGGCCCAAACUCCUACGGGAGGCAGCAGUAGGGAAUCUUCCGCAAUGGACGAAAGUCUGACGGAGCAACGCCGCGUGAGUGAAAGAAGGUUUUCGGAUCGUAAAACUCUGUUGUCAGAGAAGAACAAGUUGGAGAGUAACUGCUCCAGCCUUGACGGUAUCUGACCAGAAAGCCACGGCUAACUACGUGCCAGCCGCCGC
rnacentral:rRNA from 1 species